rnacentral:rRNA from 1 species
GUGCUGCGAGCUACCGUGCGGUCGAGCGGAACGAGUGAUCUGAACCUUCGGGGAACGAUGACGGCGUCGAGCGGCGGACGGGUGAGUAAUGCCUAGGAAAUUGCCCUGAUGUGGGGGAUAACCAUUGGAAACGAUGGCUAAUACCGCAUGAUGCCUACGGGCCAAAGAGGGGGACCUUCGGGCCUCUCGCGUCAGGAUAUGCCUAGGUGGGAUUAGCUAGUUGGUGAGGUAAGGGCUCACCAAGGCGACGAUCCCUAGCUGGUCUGAGAGGAUGAUCAGCCACACUGGAACUGAGACACGGUCCAGACUCCUACGGGAGGCAGCAGUGGGGAAUAUUGCACAAUGGGCGCAAGCCUGAUGCAGCCAUGCCGCGUGUAUGAAGAAGGCCUUCGGGUUGUAAAGUACUUUCAGUCGUGAGGAAGGUAGCGUCGUUAAUAGCUGCAUUAUUUGACGUUAGCGACAGAAGAAGCACCGGCUAACUCCGUGCCAGCAGCCGCGGUAAUACGGAGGGUGCGAGCGUUAAUCGGAAUUACUGGGCGUAAAGCGCAUGCAGGUGGUUUGUUAAGUCAGAUGUGAAAGCCCGGGGCUCAACCUCGGAAUAGCAUUUGAAACUGGCAGACUAGAGUACUGUAGAGGGGGGUAGAAUUUCAGGUGUAGCGGUGAAAUGCGUAGAGAUCUGAAGGAAUACCGGUGGCGAAGGCGGCCCCCUGGACAGAUACUGACACUCAGAUGCGAAAGCGUGGGGAGCAAACAGGAUUAGAUACCCUGGUAGUCCACGCUGUAAACGAUGUCUACUUGGAGGUUGUGGCCUUGAGCCGUGGCUUUCGGAGCUAACGCGUUAAGUAGACCGCCUGGGGAGUACGGUCGCAAGAUUAAAACUCAAAUGAAUUGACGGGGGCCCGCACAAGCGGUGGAGCAUGUGGUUUAAUUCGAUGCAACGCGAAGAACCUUACCUACUCUUGACAUCCAGAGAACUUUCCAGAGAUGGAUUGGUGCCUUCGGGAACUCUGAGACAGGUGCUGCAUGGCUGUCGUCAGCUCGUGUGUGAAAUGUGGGUAAGUCCCGCAACGAGCGCAACCCUUAUCCUUGUUUGCCAGCGAGUAUGUCGGGACCUCCA